UUAUCAGGUACAUUGUUAAAGAUAUUAUAUUGUAUAUUGUAAUUGUAUUAUUUUGGUAACUGCCCCAGUGAACAAGCACCAAACCAGCGUGCGUGAGUGCAGCGUUGGAUGGUGAGACGUGCAUUGCAUGACGUGCAAUUUUGUGUCGUUCUUAUCAGAAUAAAGCUACAUGACUGGUGCUACAUGUUGGAGUUCCGUGUCGAUGACUGAUUGUACACAACGCAAGACGAGUACUGUUACACUGGCUUUACCACCUAGUCCAUCUCUCUCUCUCUCCCUGCUGGCAUAACUACCUAGUCCAGCUCUCUCUCUCUCUCCCUGCAGGCUUUACCACCUAGUCCAUCUCUCUCUCUCUCCCUCUGCAGGCUUUACCACCUAGUCCAUCUCUCUCUCUCUCCCUCUGCAGGCUUUACCACCUAGUCCAUCUCUCUCUCUCUCCCUCUGCAGGCUUUACCACCUAGUCCAUCUCUCUCCCUGCAGGCUUUACCACCUAGUCCAUCUCUCUCUCUCUCUCUCCCUCUGCAGGCUUUACCACCUAGUCCAUCUCUCUCUCUCUCCCUCUGCAGGCUUUACCACCUAGUCCAUCUCUCUCUCUCUCCCUGCAGGAUUUACCACCUAGUCCAUCUCUCUCUCUCUCUCUCUCUGCAGGCUUUACCACCUAGUCCAUCUCUCUCUCUCCCUCUGCAGGCUUUACCAACUAGUCCAUCUCUCUCUCCCUGAAGGCUUUACCACCUAGUCCAUCUCUCUCUCUCUCCCUCUCUCCCUCUCUCCCUCCCUCCCUCUCUCCCUCCCUCCCUGCUGGCUUUACCACCUAGUCCAUCUCUCUCCCUCACUCCCUGCAGGCUUUACCACCUAGUCCAUCUCUCUCUCCCUGCAGGCUUUACCACCUAGUCCAUGUCUCUCUCCCUGCAGGCUUUACCACCUAGUCCAUCUCUUUCUCUCUCUCUCUCUCCCUGCAGGCUUUACCACCUAGUCCAUCUCUCUCUCUCUCCCUGCAGGAAUUAAAACUUAGUCCAUCUCUCUCCCUCUCACUGCAGGCUUUACCACCUAGUCCAGCUCUCUCUCUCUCUCCAUCUCUCCCUGCUGGCUUUACCACCUAGUCCAUCUCUCUCUCUCUCUCUCUGCUGGCUUUAGCACCUAGUCCAUCUCUCUCUCCCUGCAGGCUUUACUACCUACUCCAGCUCUCUCUCUCUCUCCCUGCAGGCUUGACCACCUAGUCCAUCUCUCUCUCCCUCCCUGCAGGCUUUACCACCUAGUCCAUCUCUCUCUCUCUCCCUGCAGGCUUCACCACCUAGUCCAUCUCUCUCUCCCUGCAGGCUUUACCACCUAGUCCAUCUCUCUCUCCCUGAAGGCUUUACCACCUAGUCCAUCUCUCUCUCUCUCCCUCUGCAGGCUUUACCACCUAGUCCAUCUCUCUCUCUCUCCCUCUGCAGGCUUUACCACCUAGUCCAUCUCUCUCUCUCUCUCCCUCUGCAGGCUUUACCACCUAGUCCAUCUCUCUCUCCCUGCAGGCUUUACCACCUAGUCCAUCUCUUUCUCUCUCUCUCCCUGCAGGCUUUACCACCUAGUCCAUCUCUUUCUCUCUCUCUCC
ensembl:lncRNA